AAGGAAGCAGGUCUGGAGGAGUUAAUGCUCUUGUGCUGGCUCUCAGUUUUUCAGAUGAUUUGAGUCCCUAGUUCCACAGAAAUGGCUGGGAAAGGAAUUAAUGCAUAAACUGAAAUGAUGAGGAGCUUGCAGUUAUAGGGCUGCUUACAAAGAUGUGGUGAUGGAAAAUCUGAAACAGUUGACCCAAUCUGACCCAUUUCAGAAAAAAAAUAGUGGUAGAAGACAGUUUGCUUUGUUCUCAUGUAUCCUCGGACUGUAUUCUGGUGUUCUUCCCGUUAUAUCAGGAUAUUGUCUUCUUACUAGUGAUGCAGGAUAUCACAUAUCAGUAGUGGGGGGGGGUCUGAUGGAGGCUGAAGUGUGCACAUGGAAUUGAUUAGGGGGUUAGCUUCCUCUCAGUGGCAAGUCAUGUGGGUAUUUCAAUGUCUGAACCUGGGUGUGGAGCAGAGGAAGCUGUGGAGACAGCUAUAUCUUAAUUACCUCUGGAAAGUUUACUGAAAUGCCCAUAGAAUUGCUCAUCUGUCUGAACAGAAUGGGAGUUAGUGCCAUCAAAGCUGCUGGGAGCACAAGAAGUAAGUAUCAGAGAGCUGAGAUCAAACAGAUAUCCUGAGGUGUGAUGGGGACCAUGUAAUAAAUAGGAAGAUUAAAGAAAACACAGAAUAUCCAAGUGACCCCUCAAAAUCCCUCUUUAUAGUCAUGUUUUGACAGCAGCUAAAACAUGAUGUCAGCCUUUGAUUACCUGGCUUGGGGGUAAGCUAACUUUCCCUCCAACCUGCAGUGACAUCCUGCUAAGGAUGCAGAGGCUAGCCCUGUACCCUGCCCUGCCUGCUGUGCAUGCUGCUGGACCAUCUGUCAGUGGAGCUCUCAGACCCUAUUCUUGAAGAAACAGCAGAUUGUGAUCAUCAAGGGUAGUGACAAAAAGAAAACAAGAAGUUGGGAAAUAGAGAUGACCAUGUCCAUAUUCGUAAAUUAUGACGUGAACGUUCCCCUGGAUGAGACCAUCUGCGCUAUUCAUUUAUAUGAGAACUAGCAAUAGCCAAGAAUUGCUCCUGGUCAUUAGUUUGGGUGCAGCCACAGUAGUCUUGAGACUGAGAGUUUAUCUUCAUUGUGGAUACAAGUUAUUCUGUGACAAUUGGUUUAUGUUGAGAUGGUCCUGAAAAUGCUGAAUUAAGGCGGAGGUACCUCUACCAUGGAAAAUCAUGUGUCACCAUGUGGGUAAAAAGGAAGGCUGAUUUCUUCCAUACUACUUAGCCCAAAUUAGGACUGCUAGAUGCAGCUGUUUAGGAGAAUCAUGGUGUUGCAACUUGUUAUCACUUCUAUCUGCUUUGGAUGCAGACAGCGGGAGAUGGCUGAAUCUGAUGAAACCCCCAUGAGCUGCACCCUUGAUGCAAUGCACAUUCCUUGCUCAUUGACUCACAGCUAUCAACUUUCCUUUACUCCCUCUUUGCCAUGUGUUUUGUAGCACUCUAAACACCUGAGGAGACAAUGUUUUGAGCAGACACUUGCUGUAUUUGCGCACAGUACUGCAUGUCUUCUCUCUGUCACUCUGGACAUACAUGGCUCAUGCAACAGAUCAGAAAUUAGGUAAGCAAAGAUAUAAAGUUAUUCUGCUUGUGCAGAAUGGAUAAUGAGAGUAAUGCAAUUAACAGUAUUAAUGUUAAUAACUAGAUAUCUGCUAUUAGCAGUCUCCCACCUUGAUCAUUUAUUAAACAGUGACAC
rnacentral:lncRNA from 1 species